CCUACGGGGAGCAGCAGUGAGGAAUAUUGGUCAAUGGACGAGAGUCUGAACCAGCCAAGUAGCGUGAAGGAUGACUGCCCUAUGGGUUGUAAACUUCUUUUAUAUGGGAAUAAAAUGUUCCACGUGUGGGAUUUUGUAUGUACCAUAUGAAUAAGGAUCGGCUAACUCCGUGCCAGCAGCCGCGGUAAUACGGAGGAUCCGAGCGUUAUCCGGAUUUAUUGGGUUUAAAGGGAGCGUAGGUGGAUUGUUAAGUCAGUUGUGAAAGUUUGCGGCUCAACCGUAAAAUUGCAGUUGAAACUGGCAGUCUUGAGGACAGUAGAGGUGGGCGGAAUUCGUGGUGUAGCGGUGAAAUGCUUAGAUAUCACGAAGAACUCCGAUUGCGAAGGCAGUUCACUGGACUGCAACUGACACUGAGGCUCGAAAGUGUGGGUAUCAAACAGGAUUAGAUACCCGAGUAGUC
rnacentral:rRNA from 1 species